rnacentral:lncRNA from 1 species
GAGAGCUAGCUUCAUGCUUCGGGGAAAAAAAAGAUAGAGAAUUGGGAUUUUUUUUUCAUAGGAUUUUGGAAAGACUGAGGCAAUCGUUGCUGAAAGUCAGUGUUGUACUAGUGAAUUGAGAUUUUUAAUGAAGUGGGUGUGAUUACUCUUGACUGUUUUUUGAAAUCGAAGUUACGUCUGUGAUUGAAGAAUUAAAAGGGUGUCUAUAGGAUUGAGUAUGCGGAGUGAAUAAAAUUUUUUGGAUUAAUCUAACAAAACAGUCAGUGGAUAAAAGGUCGUGAGUAUAAAGCGAUAUCGGAGAUUAGUAGAUUGGGUUGUUUGGGGUUCUCUGUAACGUCAAGAGACCUACCG